rnacentral:sRNA from 1 species
UAGCAGGUCUUAUUGAGGCCACCAACGUC